GAUGAACGCUAGCUACAGGCUUAACACAUGCAAGUCGAGGGGUAACGAGAGGAAAGCUUGCUUUCCUUGUUGACGACCGGCGCACGGGUGAGUAACGCGUAUCCAACCUGCCCCCAACUAGGGAAUAACCUUGCGAAAGUAAGACUAACACCCUAUAAUUUCCUCAGAUGUCAUCUGACGAGGAAUAAAGAUUUAUCGGUUGUGGAUGGGGAUGCGUCUGAUUAGCUUGUUGGCGGGGUAACGGCCGACCAAGGCAACGAUCAGUAGGGGUUCUGAGAGGAAGGUCCCCCACAUUGGAACUGAGACACGGUCCAAACUCCUACGGGAGGCAGCAGUGAGGAAUAUUGGUCAAUGGGCGGAAGCCUGAACCAGCCAAGUAGCGUGCAGGAUGACGGCCCUAUGGGUUGUAAACUGCUUUUAUACAGGAAUAAAGUUAGCCACGUGUGGUUAUUUGUAGGUACUGUAUGAAUAAGGACCGGCUAAUUCCGUGCCAGCAGCCGCCGUAA
rnacentral:rRNA from 1 species